GUUGCCGUGGCCGAGUGGUUAAGGCGAUAGACUUGAAAUCUUUUAGGAUUUUCCCGGGCAGGUUCGAAACCUGCCGACAACG